AUGAACGCUGGCGGCGUGCCUAAUACAUGCAAGUCGAGCGAACGGACGAGAAGCUUGCUUCUCUGAUGUUAGCGGCGGACGGGUGAGUAACACGUGGAUAACCUACCUAUAAGACUGGGAUAACUUCGGGAAACCGGAGCUAAUACCGGAUAAUAUUUUGAACCGCAUGGUUCAAAAGUGAAAGACGGUCUUGCUGUCACUUAUAGAUGGAUCCGCGCUGCAUUAGCUAGUUGGUAAGGUAACGGCUUACCAAGGCAACGAUGCAUAGCCGACCUGAGAGGGGGAUCGGCCACCCUGGAACUGAGACCCGGCCCAGACCCCUACGGGAGGCAGAAGUAGGGAAUCUUCCGCAAUGGGCGAAAGCCUGACGGAGCAACGCCGGGGGAGGGAUGAAGGUCUUCGGAUCGUAAAACUCUUUUUUUAGGGAAGAACAUAUGUGUAAGUAACUGUGCAAAUCUGGACGGUACCUAAUCAGAAAGCCCCGGCUAACUACGU
rnacentral:rRNA from 1 species